rnacentral:lncRNA from 1 species
AUCCUAAGGAAUGGAGUAAAUGCUGUGUAAAAGUGUAGGCUCAUAAGGUGGACAAGAGGAAAAAAGAAUUGGUAUUUAACUUAGGAUCUGAAGAGCAAAGAAUAUUUUAGGCUGAAGAAAUAAUAGCAAAAGAUGGGUAAAGAAGAAUACAAGUAGAUUUUGGGAUGUGUCUGCAAAUGCAAGUGUGGAAUACAUAGAAGAACACUAAAUAGGAAUCAACAGAAAGGAAGGUAAAGAACUGAGAGAAUAGAUGUUGCACAAGCCAAAAGUAAAAGAAACAAAUGGUGAUGUACCUAAGAAGUACUGUAAUCUAAUGGUAGUUUAAGUUCUCAGAAGGAAUUAAUAAUAUAAUUCCUUUGAGUCCCCAAAGCAUUUUGUGACUUCAUUCAAACUAUAGGUACUC